UAUGGUCAUAUCAUGUUGAAACACUUGUCCCUUUUACGAUCACCGAAGUUAAGUAACGUCGAACCAGGUCAGUACCUAGAUGAGUGAACGCUUGGGAAUACCAGGUACUGUAA